UAACACCAAUACACCUGGUACAUCUAGAUGCGUGUGAAAACAUUUUUUGAAUGAAUGAAUACACUUGAGGAUGAUGCAAAUGAUGUCAGCUGUCUAUCUAGGAAAAAAAGUUUUAAAAUCUCACCACGGAAGUCAUUUUGCCCCUGCAUUCUAAACUGAUGAACUUUGCCAAAAGUAGAGAUCUAUGGGUAAAUAAUAUAAGUGUAACCACCUUGAACAAUGCCCCAGAUGGAUGCAGAACACAAGUAACUCUCAACUGUAGUUGUCUCCAAAAUACACCAUCAUUCGCUGCCACAAGAGUGUUGCUGGACACUACUUCCCAUCUCUGUAUUUGAAGAACAUUUGCAUUGCAUCUUUUCUGCCCUAGUCCAACAAACGUCAACUUGACAGAAAAAAAAAAAUUCUCAUCACAAGACAAUUUAGAAAGUGUUCAUUGCAAAUGAACCAUUUAUUUCUAGAAAACGACACUUCAAUGUCCCCAAAAACACAAGAACACCAUCUUUGUGUUUUAUUUUUUGUAAAAGAUCUUUGACGCCUAUUCCCCAAUCCCCAUUCGCUUUCCCUUCCAGAACCAUGCUACUGUAUUUGAUAUCAUUGAAUUUCUAUGAAUUCUUAUAGAAUAUGUAGCAUUUUGUAUUUUAGUGUAAAGUGCACUGAUUUAUAACCUAAUAAUCAAUGAAGCUUAUUGAUUCAUACAGAUUGUUAUUCAUUGUUACUUUUAAGCUCUCAACAGUGUUCUUAUAAUAUAUGCGUGUUAUUUUGUCUACAUGUCAUUUGUUGCUUUUAAUUACUCCAGAAUACUCCAGAGUAUGUGCCUACUGCAUUUUUACCUAACCACUCAAUGCUUGCCAUAUACAAAAAUAUUAACAUCCAAUAGUUAACCUCAUAUUCCAUCAACCUGAUCUAAAGUCACAGUGAUUCUGGUUAAUUCAGCAAGGGAACUUUUUCCCUCCAAUCUUUUAUGUAAGAGUUUUCCACCUGAAUU
rnacentral:lncRNA from 1 species